GUGCCUGUUUCUCCCUGAGCCUGUGACUCCCAUCUCUGCCAGGUUACACGUGCCUUCGUGGGUAGUCUCUGGAAUGCUCAAAGUAUAGAACCAGCAGACAUAGAACCAGCAGAUGUAGAACCAGCAGAGGGGGUAACAUAAAAGAACAUCUCGCCCGGCCCCCAGUGUGGUGCUGAGGGAAGACACAUCCAGAGACGUCAGGUGGCUCACGAGGGACAAGAGCUGACAGAGCGAGGACGAGAGCCCACCCUCUAGACCUCCCAGGACAUGUCCUCCAGCAAUGGUCGCCUUUACUCUUCCAGGAAUGCAAAAGAAAUGGCUCCCGGGUGUCCAUCAUGAAAGCAUCCAGCAGACACGCUGUGUCCUCAGCCCCAGCGAGGCGGGGACGC